ensembl:lncRNA
GAUGGAUGUGAGCGGGCAGGGUAAGGAGAUUAAUGGAUAUUGGGAGAGGGAAGGGUGGAGAGGAAUAUGGGCAGAGCCAAGCUGUAGUGAUGGAGGACGGGAAGGAAGGCUGUGCAGGCUAACAUGUUUUGGAACCCAGCUAUCUUCUUGUAUCACUGGAGAAACUCAUAAAAGUUUCAUGCCUCUGGUGCUCCGGGGUCAACUUCAUCCCGCUGGGCCGCAGCAACCUCCCAACCCCGCUGUGCCGCAGGGCACCGCCUUCGGCGCUGGGCUGCAGCGACCUCCCGAUCCACGACUCGUGCCCGCAACUCCGCAAGUCCCAGCUCCCCGACCCUCGUCUACUGGUCCUCUCCCUCCCGCCCUUGUCUGCCUUCUGCCG